rnacentral:rRNA from 1 species
AACGAACGCUGGCGGCAGGCCUAACACAUGCAAGUCGAACGGCAGCGGGGGGAAGCUUGCUUCCCCGCCGGCGAGUGGCGGACGGGUGAGUAAUGCCUGGGGAGCUGCCCAAUCGAGGGGGAUACCAGUUGGAAACGACUGCUAAUACCGCAUACGCCCUGAGGGGGAAAGGUGGGGAUCUUCGGACCUAUCGCGAUUGGAUGCACCCAGGUGGGAUUAGCUAGUUGGUGAGGUAACGGCUCACCAAGGCGACGAUCUCUAGCUGGUCUGAGAGGAUGACCAGCCACACUGGAACUGAGACACGGUCCAGACUCCUACGGGAGGCAGCAGUGGGGAAUAUUGCACAAUGGGGGAAACCCUGAUGCAGCCAUGCCGCGUGUGUGAAGAAGGCCUUCGGGUUGUAAAGCACUUUCAGCGAGGAGGAAAGGGUGGCAGCUAAUACCUGUCAUCUGUGACGUUACUCGCAGAAGAAGCACCGGCUAACUCCGUGCCAGCCGCCGCCGUAACAC